AUAUGGUAGCUCAGUUGAUAGAGUACUUGCCUAGCAAGCAGGAAGGCCUGGGUUCAAUCCCCAGAACUAUAUA
rnacentral:tRNA from 1 species